rnacentral:rRNA from 1 species
AGAGCGAACGCUGGCGGCAUGCUUAACACAUGCAAGUCGCACGGGCAGGGGUAACCCUGUCAGUGGCGGACGGGUGAGUAACGCGUAGGUAUCUAUCCUUGGGUGGGGGACAACUGUGGGAAACUACAGCUAAUACCGCAUGAUAACUGAGGUUUAAAGGCGCAAGUCGCCUGAGGAGGAGCCUGCGUACGAUUAGCUAGUUGGUGGGGUAAAGGCCUACCAAGGCUGUGAUCGUUAGCUGGUCUGAGAGGAUGAUCAGCCACAUUGGGACUGAGACACGGCCCAAACUCCUACGGGAGGCAGCAGUGGGGAAUAUUGGACAAUGGGCGAAAGCCUGAUCCAGCAAUGCCGCGUGUGUGAAGAAGGUCUUCGGAUUGUAAAGCACUUUCGACGGGACGAUGAUGACGGUACCCGUAGAAGAGCCCGGCUAACUCGCGCCAGCAGCCGC